rnacentral:rRNA from 1 species
GACGUAGGGGGCAAGCGUUGUCCGGAAUCAUUGGGCGUAAAGCGCGUGUAGGCGGUUCGGUAAGUCGGCUGUGAAAGUCCAGGGCUCAACCCUGGGAUGCCGGUCGAUACUGCCGGACUAGAGUUCGGAAGAGGCGAGUGGAAUUCCCGGUGUAGCGGUGAAAUGCGCAGAUAUCGGGAGGAACACCAAUGGCGAAGGCAGCUCGCUGGGACGUUACUGACGCUGAGACGCGAAAGCGUGGGGAGCAAACAGG